rnacentral:rRNA from 1 species
AGCAGCCGCCGCGGGAAUACGUAGGGUGCAAGCGUUAAUCGGAAUUACUGGGCGUAAAGCGUGCGCAGGCGGUUUUGUAAGUCUGUCGUGAAAUCCCCGGGCUCAACCUGGGAAUGGCGAUGGAGACUGCAAGGCUAGAAUCUGGCAGAGGGGGGUAGAAUUCCACGUGUAGCAGUGAAAUGCGUAGAUAUGUGGAGGAACACCGAUGGCGAAGGCAGCCCCCUGGGCUAAGAUUGACGCUCAUGCACGAAAGCGUGGGGAGCAAACAGGAUUAGAUACCCGCGUAGUCCCUGUCUCUUAUAU